CCCGUUUCCUGCCAACCCCUUCACAUCUGCAGCUGGAGCUCGGUCUGACGGAAUCUGCUUCUCACUAAAAUACUCACCGACAUCAAACAACUGAUUUCAGCAGUUUAAGUGUUGCUCAAACAUGGAUCCAGAUUCAGAUUUAGAUCCAGAUCCAGAUCUCACCAUUGUCCUUCUGGGAAACACCGGAGUCGGUAAAAGUGCUUCAGGAAACACCAUCCUGGGAUACCAGGCCUUCGAGUCAGGACCUUCCCUCAAGUCAUUGACAACUGAAAUCUCUGAAAAACCUGGAACUGUGUUUGGGAAACAGAUCUCAGUGAUCGACACUCCGGGAAUUUUAAGACGUGAGGGGGAGAUUCAGACCGAGUGUCAGCGUGUCCUGCAGUCGUCCAUACCUCGUCUGUUCCUGGUGGUUGUCAGCGUCGGACGGUUCACAGAAGAACAAGAGAAAGCUCUAAAGGCAACCAUCCCAGUCCUCGGGCAGGAUGGACUAGAAAAGAGUUAUAUACUUUUCACAAACGGGGAUGCCUUGAAGAAGAUGUCAGUGGAUGAUUUCAUCUUUGAAGAAGAAGAAGGUCCACUUCCAGACAUCGUUAGAAGAUUUGCAGGGAGGUAUCAUUCAAUAAUGUAAAUGGAGGACAGGAACAAGUCCGAGAUCUGCUGAUAAAGUCCGGUCACCUUCAAGGAUCUCAUCUACCACCAGCUGCUGGUUCUGGAGAGUCCGUCCAGGUGGAGGAAACGAGGAUCGUGCUGCUCGGUCUUCCUGGAGGAGGGAAGAGUGCAUCAGGAAACACCAUCCUGGGAGCGGAUCUGUUUAAUUCAGACUUGGACUUUAAUUCAGUCAGUACUGAGACUGUUUCAAAGUCAGCAGAGGUAGAGGGACGCUGGAUCACGGUGGUCGACACUCCAGGAUUUACUGAUGAAGUUCUGUCUCCUGAACAGCUGUAUAACGAGAUUAUGAAGUCGCUAGUCGACGCCAGUCCAGGACCACAUGCUUUUGUUAUUGUGGUGAAGAUUGGCAGGAUGUCCAGAGCUGACGUUGCCCUGCUUCAGAUGCUACCAGAACUAUUCGGCGAUGAGGCCCUGAACUACACCAUGUUGGUGUUUACUCAUGGAGACGAGCUGGGAGGUCAGUCAAUGGAUCAGAAGAUCCGGUCCAGCAGCUGUGUGUCAGACCUGGUCUCCAUGUGUGCUGGGAGAUUCUGUGUGUUUGACAACAAAGGAAGAAAAAGCAGAAGGCAAGUUCGGAACUUCAUGAGUAAAAUCAACGAGAUAGUCUCAGCCAACGGAGGAAAGCACUGCUCAUCCGACAUGUUCAGGAUGGCCAACACGUUCGUCAGUGAAGCUGUGAGAACUGGGACAGCUGGAAGCGAUCAGGCACGGAGAGAAGCUGCACAGAUACGAAUACAGCUUUAUGUUGCCCGGAGCUGGUGGAGGGUCUGUUGCUGUUUCACAGCAUGCUGUUGUUCAGCCAGUGGAUCAGAUGAUGAACGUGAGGCUCUUCUGCCCAGAGAUUAAUGGUCAUCUGAGAGACCGGUACAGGUUAAAGGGCUGUCCACAUCGAAUGAUAACUGUAAAUAUAUACUUGAACUAUAGAUACACUUAAAGUCCAGACACUACUAUAACAGUGAUGGUGGCGAACGAUAUCGUUGGGAUCACAACGAUAAAAUGAAUCAGUAUAGAAAGAAACAGAACAGGAGCUUCUUUUAGCAUCCUUCUCAUGUUCUCAUUCUUAUACACAUACAUAUUCAUAAAGACGCUGUCUGAACUCCAGAUAGACUUUUACACAGCAGCUUUACGUGUUUGUUUUCCUGGACAGUUGGGACAUUACAUUACACUGCAUGCUAAAUUGUCUCUAUACAUAUUUUUUUAUAAUGGUUAAAUCCACAGUGACUGAUGGAUGUAUGCAUGAGGACAUAAUGGAAACUGACCACAUUUAAUCUACAUGUUUUUAUACUUUAUUGUUUUAAUAUUUGGACUGAAACGUUUAGAGUUUCAGGGAGUCGAGCUAAUGUAUGUAUAAUUAAUCAACAUAAUAUUUAAAUGAAUGUUAACUUUUUGACGUUUUUUUUAGAUGGGUUUGUUUUGACGCUUUUAAAUGGUAAUCCAGCUUCAAUAGCCUGCUGGUUGGUUGGAAUAAUUAAUGAUACCUUACUGGUAGACCAGCUUCACCAGUAAGACCAUGCUGGAGGACCAGCAUAUCUGCCACCGUUUAUGGGUAUAUGCUGUUUUUUCCAGCAGGGAUUCAUCAGUGUUCUUAUACAUCUCUUAUGGCCCUCGCAGUAUUCUGUAUUGUGCCUUUCAUAGAUUUGUAUGUGCCUGACUAAUAGGAGAGUGAAGGCUAUUUUUUCCUUUAAGAUCUUUGUUCCCAACAGACGUAGCUGCUGCAGAUCGGCUGAUUGGGAGGCUGGCUAUUUAACUUCCUGUUUCCAGUAUCCAAACGGAGGCUUGAUGUUGGCAAAAGCUUGGUCCUCCUCGUCCUCCAAACUGUUAACUGUGUUCUGUGUGCUUAUUGGAAUUGGUUUAGUGCCGUAGUAAAUUUGAGUUCAACUGUUAGUGUGUAUAUUUGGUAUAUAGCCUAGUUAGAAAGUACUUUAUUUUUGUACAAAGCAGUAGGGGUGAAUCGCCAUUUCAGUUUGACCAUGUUUUCUCCUGUUUUUCUUUAGUUACGGAGUUAGAUUUAGAAAUUGUAUUUUGGUUUGGUUUUCUUUGGAUUUAGGUUUAGACAGAACUCUGUUCAGGAGAACAGGGGUUUUCUGUUUAUCAGUUUGGCGUUGAUUCACCCUGAAGCUAAGCUUCCGUUAGAAUUAUUAAGAUUCAAGUGUUUGUUUGUGAAAUAACCUGGUUUUAUUUUUAAAGCAAUAAAUUGCUUGAUUAUUUCAAUUUCCA